AGUGGCCAUCACGACCAUCUUCUCGAGAUCGAGGCUGAAACCUGAACGCUGAACGGAGCCAUACCUGCAGAGAUCCAUGUACCAGUCGUACUGUUCAUGCGGGAGACCAACUUCCCCGAUCCUGCAAAGAGUUCGACCACCGGUCUCGGUCAGUGCACAAGAUAAGAGUUGUUGUUGUUGUUCUUCCUUCAUCCCUGUUUUGGUUUACCUCUUGCUGAUCACGUCCAAUCUUUCCUCCUUUUGGCUUCCUCUAACCAGAACUCCGACCUACAGAAAAAUUCUAUCAGCGCCCGUACCGAAGAAAAAUUGGGAUUUAACUCGUCAAACACUUGCUUUGGGUGCGAUUAUUUCGAAAGCAGAAGCUGUUAUGAGAUUAGCAUUCCCUCGCACGUAGAAUGGUUUGAUCUCUUUGGGGAACUCAU
rnacentral:lncRNA from 1 species